CCCUAGCUCAGUGGCAGAGAGCAUCUGUUUGCAAGACAGAAGGUCCCAGGUCCAGUCCCUGGGAGAGAGU